rnacentral:rRNA from 1 species
UACGUAGGGGGCAAGCGUUAUCCGGAUUUACUGGGUGUAAAGGGAGCGUAGACGGCCAGACAAGUCAGAAGUGAAAGCCCAGGGCUCAACCCUGGGACUGCUUUUGAAACUGCCGGGCUGGAGUGCAGGAGAGGUAAGCGGAAUUCCUAGUGUAGCGGUGAAAUGCGUAGAUAUUAGGAGGAACACCAGUGGCGAAGGCGGCUCUCUGGUCUGCAACUGACGCUGAGGCUCGAAAGCAUGGGUAGCGAACAGG